UUAUUUCUCUCACUCUAAGACCUCCUGUUCUUAGUUCCACUAGUGGGGAAACUCCGGUCAAGUCCAUAUAUGCAUGUUUCUCAGUUCCACUAGAAGAAAAACAUGUAUAUAUGGACUUGAGUGGCUCAUAGGAAGGGAGAUUGACACUUAGGGAGAAACAUCCAUAUAUGGACUUGACUAACUCAUAGGAAGAGAGAUUGACACUUAGGUCAACAAAUCUUUUUCAUUUUUGAGCCAAUUUUCUCCCAUAAAUAAUUUUUUUUCCUCACUUUCAAAACACAUCAGAAAAUGUAUUUCUACAUACUUUCUCACUUUCUACUCUCUUCAUUUUCAUUUCAUUAUUUUUCACUAAAUUGCCUUAUUGCUUUGAAAGUGAAAAAUAUUAAGUGAGGUUUUUGUUUGUUAUGGUUUUAGGAUUCGUACUGUAAUUUACUCAAUAUAACUUUGUCUCUUGUAUAAUAUCUCUUGUGAGAAGAUGUUGUUUGAUUUGUGAGCUAAACUAGUAAAAGCUCUUGGUUGGUUUGCGAGAAUUUCUACUAAAAUCUCUGAUUGGUUUAUGAGUUUAGCUCGAUGUAAAAGCUAUCGUUUGGUUUGUCAGAUUUCCCUUCAAAAUCUCUGUUUGAUUCCUGAGCUCAACUUGGUGUUAAAGCUCUGCAUGAUUAUGAGAUUGUCAUAUAGUAAAAUCUCAUGUUUGGUUGGAGGAUAACUAUCGUAAAGCUCAUGUUUGGUUGUAAGAGGGUUCAUGGGUACAACUUGUGAAAAACUAUCAUAUAUUGGAAACUCUCAAGAAAAAAUUUCUGGGGAUAUAAGUAGGGAAAGUGGUUAGGUCAAAUAUGUAUAAAUCGUGGUAUAAUUCUUUAAACCUUUAUCUCUUUAUACUUUCUCUAUUUUGAUUUAUGUUUCUUGAUUUAUUCCACGACAUAUUCUUUGUCUAUUUUACAAAAUAGUUUUAAACAUCAUUAUUUACAAAAGAAUUUUUAAUUGGACAUCAUUUUUCAAACCCACACAAUUUACGACUCUUUCAAUCUCUUGUGUUUAGAGUCAUUUGUCCAACAAGUGACAUCAAAGCAUAAUUCCUGUUAUAAGACUAAUUAUCUAAGGAGGUAGAAUGAUGACUUCAAACACUCCUAUUUUUAAAAAGGUAUUUUUAUUAACACACCUCCCCCGUUUGAAUUAUGGAAAGCAAGAAUGAUUUUUUUUAAGCAAAUGAUUAUGAGAUGUGGAAUUUUAUUAUUAAUAGUCUGUUUAUUGUUACUUAUUGUGUUGAUAAUAAAGUAGUAAAUAAACAUGAUUUUAUUUAGACCAAAGAAGAUAAGAGAAAAGUCAAACUCAAUCUUAAAGUCGAGUACUUGAUGAUGGGUGCUUUAAGCACCAAAUGUUACCUUUCUAUUUUUAAUUGUAUUUUGACAAAGGAAGUAUGAGACACUCUUGAGAUUAUCCAUGGAGAGUUUCCUAAGAUCAAACAAGAGAGAAUGAAUAUAUAAAUCCAGGAAGAGGAAACAACAAAUUAAUAUGAAAGUUAUCUUCAUAAAUAAUGCUCAAAUAGUGUAAUCCUUGGAGAUUGUGUUAAAAGCUUUAUAUCUAACAAAUAUUUCAUAUUCAUGAAUUGGGGCCAUAAAUCUGAUCAAAUCCUUGAUUCCAAAUAUAAAAGCGUGUUUGUUGAGUUUCAUUGAUAAAUGAUUAAUUAAUUCAAAUGUUGAAAGAUGAAGGAAUGGAUUCAAGUACAUUAGAAGAUUCAUCAUCUGAUGGAAAUUAUGAAGAAGAUUCAUCUAAUAUUUGAAGAAUCUUCAUCCAAUAGAAUAUGUGAGAGAAGAAAUGAAGAUGCUUUAUUCAGUAGAAUCUUCGAGAGAAGAAAUGAAGAAGCUUCAUCCAGUAGAAUCUUUUAAGAAGCUUCAUCCAAUAGAAUAUGUGAGAGAAGAAAUAAUGAAUAAGCUUCAUCAAGAAGAAUCUUUGAAAGCAUAGUACCCUAAUUUUGUCAAGAUAAUUCAAAUCUCUUAUCAUUUUAAGAUUAAAAUCUUGAAGAAAUUAGCCAUUCACUUUUGUCUUGGUAAUGCAAAAAAGAUCAACUUAGCCCUUCAUGUGGUCCUAUCCAGAUGGAUUCGUUUGGAGGUAAAAGAUACUUUGUCACAUUCAUAGAUGAUUCCAGUCGAUAAUAGUGGACUUACCUGAUCAAGAAGAAAAGUAAAGUGAUCGAGGUAUUUGCCAAUUUUAAAUUUAUGGUCGAAAACUCAAGAUUUUGAGAACUGAUGGUGGUGGAGAAUAUGUGUCGAAAAAAUUUGACACAUUAUACGAGAAAUAAGGGAUUGUGCAUGAGGUGGUGCCAUCCUACAAUCCAUAACAAAAUGGAACUUCUAAAAGAAAGAAUAGAACCAUCAUUAAUAUGGUGAAAAGUAUAUUAAAAGGCAAAGAUCUACCCAAAUAAUUAUAAGGAAAAUUUGUGUCAACUGCAAUAUAUAUUCUGAACAGAUGUCCGACGAAAAGGCUAGAAGGAAUCACACCAAAAGAAUGUUUUAGAUAAAGGCACCGAUAUAGAAGAGGGGUUGUGUCAUAUCCUAAUUUUUAACCCUAAGAUCCCACAUCUCAUUUUCAUUUUUUGCAUACAAACAAGGUCACAUUUUGAUCCUUCCCCUAAUUCAUCUUUUGGUUUGCUUCUUGCAAGGAUCACCAAGCACCUAUUUGUUUUACCUUUGUGUUUAUUUGAUUCAUUGCUUAUCUAACCACUAAUCAAAAUACCAAAAAUAUGUCUUGUUUCCCUUAAGUUUAUUAUGUAAGGUUGUACCUUGGUGGUGGACGUAUUAUGUCAUCCACUAGAUUGUAACAAGGCGACCCGUUCAGACCAUUUUUUCUUCUUUUGUGUUACAUCCACUUAUUCGAAAUGUUAGAGACAAUUGUAAGCUUAUUCUUCAUGUCUGGUAUAUUGAUUACAGAAGUGCCAUAGGAGAUUGAGGUUGUACUCAGCAGUAGAGGAUGCAUGAUACACUUUUUUGGAUUAUAGCGCCCAAAAUCUUUGGUGUUAUAGGAUCAUAUAUUGAGACAGUUGGAUAAAUGGUAUUGAAUCUGAUUUAGACAGAGCUUUGGAUGAUCUUAGUGUUGUGAUUCCAAAUUUUGACCUUAGUGGUUUUACUAGAAAUGACACAUUCCUUCCUAAAGCACAACAUGUUUUGGAAAAUGCUCUUUUUAGUAAAAGUUUUCAAGACAUGGACGUAAAGUUUGAUAUGACCAUAAGACAUAAAACACUGUUUGGUUGUUUGCUUGCAAGCAUCACAUGCUCACGAUUUUCUCCUUAGCAUUUGUAUUGAUGAGUUAGACAAACACAUGCCAUCAGUAGAGUAUUAUACUAUACUUAGAUCUUUAUUAGAAAAUUGACUCUAAACACAAGGGGGGAGGGGGUGAUUGUAUAGGUUUGAAAAAAGAUAUCCAAUUAAAAAUUCUUUGAUAAAUAAAAAUGUUUAAAAUAAUUUUAUGAAACAAACAAAAAAUAUGUAAAUGAAUAAAUAAAGAAACAUAAAUCAGAUUAAAUAGCGGAAGUAUAAAAAGAUAAGGGUUUAGAUAAUUGCAAAAAUGAUUUAUACAGGUUCGACAUAACCAUUUAACCCACUCUUGCUGGCAAGAAUUUAUUCUUGAGAAUUUUUAUUAUAUGCGAGCUUUUCACAUGUUAUACCCAUAAACUUUCUUACAAUCAAAUAGGAUUUUUACAAUGGCUAUCUUUCGAACCAAGCACAAGGUUUUAUGCCAAAACAAUCUUAGAACUAGAUAGAGCUUUUAUACUAUGUUGAGCACAAGAACCAAACAGAGAUUUUAAUGGACAAUCUCACAAACCAAACGAUAACUUUUACAUCAGAUUAAGCUCAUGAACUAAACAGAGAUUUUAAUGGACAAUCUCACAAACCAAACAAGAGUUUUCACUAAAUUAGCUUACAAACCAAACAACAACUUCUCAAAAGAUAUAUUCCACAAGAGACAAAGUUCUCUUGAGUAAAUUACAAAAGUAAUCCCAGCACCAAAAUAAACAAAAAUCACACUUGAUAGUUUUCAUUCUUAAAGCACUAAAGCAACUUAGUGAAAAAGAAAUAAAUGAAAAUGGAGAUAGUAGAAAGUGAAAAUGUAUGUAGAAAUAUAUUUCCUUGUGUGCUUUUAAAGUGAGGAGAAUCCCUCUAUUUAUAUGAGAAAAAUUUAGAUAAAAAAGGAAAAAGAUCCAUAGGCCUUUAACUGCCCUAAUAGAUUAUGCCAUAGAGUUAAUCGAUUUUGAGCUUCAAAGCACAACAACCCUAAUUCCUAAAAAUAAAACCUUACAAAGACUAAAUUCUUAUUCUAUUAUGAGUGUUCUUAAUCAAUUAAGAAGUUAUAUGUCUUGCUCUAAUGAUUGGUUAAUGUUAGACUAUGGCACGGAUCUAGAAGGGGGGGUUGAAUAGAUCCCAAUUAAAAACUUGAGUCGGCGCUAUCAAUUUAAAAGAAAAUUGGUUUUAAAAAUUGUUUUAAGUGCGGAAGCAACCGAGGAAAAUUUUAGUCUAAAACGAACCGUUAUUGGAAAACCGGAUAUGCGUUAAGCUAAUGGAUUAGAGAUAAAAUGAAAUACUAAUCACUACACUAUUUGCACACUCAAUUGAUAUAUUUCACUAACUAGCAAGCUAGUUCCAAUGAUCCAAAAUACCAAAUUAAACUGGAUGUAAACUUAAGACAACUUUGGCUUAUGCAAAUUCACAAACACUUGUGUGCAUACACUCCAAGAAUAUUUGAGUUGAGUAGUAGUUCAUUUUAUCUAGUACAAUAAACUAUUGUACUUUGUAUUCAAACAGCAGUUUUAGUUCUUACUCACUUAUAUCAAAGUUUGGGAAAAUUGCUUAAACUAAAAUCACUUAAUUUUUAAGCUGAAAAGCACUUAUGCAGAAAAUUAAAGAAGACAGAGAUUUGAUGAGGCAGUUCCCCCGCCGUCCUCUCGCUUCGGGUACGUCUGCCUCAAUUCUAAAAAUAGAAUUGAGAUGAUUAAUUAGAUAUACACUCUGUGAAAUUUAAUCGUUUUAUACAAGGAUUGCAAAGCAUGUAAACAACAGAACUUCAAUGUGUUGAAUGAUGCUUCCUAUCCUUGCUCCUUGAUUCAAGAUGAAUCAAGACCUUCGAUCGUUGAUGCUAGACCUCCGAUUCCACCCCUUUGUUGAAGAAUCUUCCGUUCUUCAAACCCUCGGCCCGGCUGAUCUCAAACACAACUAGUCGAACCCGAAUCCUUCACACUUCAAUGUCACCNNNNNNNNNNNNNNNNNNNNNNNNNUGUGUGUGUGUUGUAUGUGUGUGUGUGAUAGCUUGUAUCGUUGCUUUUAUUGCUUUAAUGAAGAAACUACGUGAACCGAUAAAAACUGAAACCUUUGUGCUUUAAUGAUGAAAAUUGUGUAAACAUUAGUGUGAAUUGAUUUUAAAUGGGCCAAUUUCGACUAAAUAGAAAAAACCGAAUUAUGAAACCGGAUUCCAAAAUAUCGAAUUCCUAAAGAGGAGGAAAAUUGACUUGAAUUUCUAAACCGAUGAUUAGGCCGAUUUGAGAUUUUGAACCCGAAAACCAACCGCCCGGCUUUGCCUCCAUAAUUUAGAUAGAUAGACAAUAUAUAUAUAAUUGGAUUGGUUAUUAGAUUUUGUCUGUCUAGACAGCCACUAAAUUACGAAACUGUUGACUAGAAUGGUACCUUAUCCAGCUAGCACCAAGGUACUUACUUGUUUGUAAUGAGCAUAGUAUAUAUAGUUUAACUGUCUACACAAUCUCAUGACUACCCCAUCUCAAUAUAUAUGUAUCAAAUGUAGCUUUCAAAAUCUCCACAGUAAUAUUCUGUGGGCAUCUCUAGUCCCCUUCUCAUUAACCAAAUAUUCCCUACAUCUUUUACUUAUUUAUCGAUGCCAUUAUUAUUAAAUAAACAACUCAUAAGCUGCUACUAAGCGACAAAUAAUAUAAUAUAUAUAAUUUGAUUACAUCCUAAAUUUAAGACACUGACAGAAGACAACUUUGGUUGUUGUUUGCUAUGUUGUCUUGUAGUUAUGUCCACUGCUUAUUUGUGUUUAGCUUUAACUGCGGUUUCUCCACUGCAAUUUCCAAAUUAACCAAAUGUAAUCAGGAAUAUAGUGUUAGAAAAGCUAACAAAUGAAGUUGGUUUAGAAGAGAAGUGAGCAAAAGACCUUUUUGCUUGUUGCUGGAUGGUGCGUAUGUCAUCAAAAGUAGGGAAGGGUAGGAGGAAUCUGCCCUCUAUAAACCCUAAAUAAAGACAAAAGAUUUUUUAGGAAUGACCCUUCGCUGCUCCGUGAGUCUACAUAUAAAAUGUUUAGCAUUCAUACUGUACUAGCUACCAACAUUCAUUUUAACAUUAUAUAUUUUAGCUUUUAAUGUUUUCAUUAAAUACUUAUUGGUAUUAUAGCUGAUUUUUUAAGGUUGGAUAUCGAAUCAAAACUCCAACCACUUUUAAUCUGGGGAAAAACACAUACCACCUUUCAAUCGGUUUAAUUUUGAUUUUUCUUAUUCGGUUUAAAUUGGACUUGAUUAAAUCAUUUUCUUAAAUAGUGCAUGUUUUGGGUCAUUCAAAAUUUAAGUUCAAUUUUAAAAUCAAUCGUAUUUUUAAAAAUUACAUAUAUUUAUCUAGGAAAUACAACAUGUUAUAUAUAAUUUUUUAGACUCUAUAAAAGAUCUAAUAUCUUUACUAAUAGGAAAGUAUAAAAACGUCAAAGAUAAAUAAUUUAUCGAAACAUGAAUUCUCAUGUUUGACCACUUUUCUUAAAUCAACCUGAGGUUAUUUCUCUCACUCUAAGACCUCCUGUUCUUAUUCACUAGUGGGAACUCCGGUCAAGUCCAUAUAUGCAUGUUUCUCAGUUCCACUAGAAGAAAAACAUGUAUAUAUGGACUUGAGUGGCUCAUAGAAGGGGAUUGACACUUAGGAGAAACAUCCAUAUAUGGACUUGACUACUCAUAGAGGAGAGAAUUGACACUUUAGGUCAACAAAUCUUUUUCAUUUUUGAGCCAUUUUCUCCCAUAAAUAAUUUUUUUCCUCACUUUCAAAACACAUCGAAAAUGUAUUCUACAUACUUUCCCACUUUCUACUCUCUUCAUUUCAUUUCAUUAUUUCACUAAAUUGCCUUAUUUGUUUGAAAGUGAAAAAAUAUUAAGUGAGGUUUUGUUUGUUAUGGUUUUAGGAUUCGUACUGUAAUUUACUCAAUAUAACUUUGUCUCUUGUAUAAUAUCUCUUUGUGAGAAGAUGUUGUUUGAUUUGUGAGCUAACUAGUAAAAGCUCUUGGUUGGUUUGCGAGAAUUUCUACUAAAAUCUCUGAUUGGUUUAUGAGUUUAGCUCGAUGUAAAGCUAUCGUUUGGUUUGUCAGAUUUCCCUUCAAAAUCUCUGUUUGAUUCCUGAGUCAACUUGGUGUUAAAGCUCUGCAUGAUUAUGAGAUUGUCAUAUAGUAAAUCUCAUGUUUUGUUGGAGGAUAACUAUCGUAAAGCUCAUGUUUGGUUGUAAGAGGGUUCAUGGGUACAACUUGUGAAAAACUAUCAUAUAUUGGAAACUCUCAAGAAAAAAUUUCUGGGAUAUAAGUAGGGAAAGUGGUUAGGUCAAAUAUGUAUAAAUCGUGGUAUAAUUCUUUAAACCUUUAUCUCUUUA
rnacentral:lncRNA from 1 species